rnacentral:tRNA from 1 species
GGGCCGGUAGCUCAGCCUGGUAGAGCACGCGGCUUUUAACCGUGUGGUCGCGGGUUCAAAUCCCGUCCGGCCCA